rnacentral:pre_miRNA from 1 species
AUUAUACCCCCUCUGUCCCAAAAUUCUUGUCUUAGAUUUGUCUAGAUACGGAUGUACCUAAUACUAAAACGUGACUUGAUACAUCCGUAUUUGGACAAAUCUAAGACAAGAAUUUUGGGACGGAGGGAGUAGAUU